rnacentral:lncRNA from 1 species
UGUUUCAUGGUUUCAUUUAAGGAAAAAAAGCCCAUGAAAUCUCUACCAAUCAAGAACCUUGACCACCUAGAAGAGUUUAAAGAAGCUUAAGGUGAACCUACCGAGUGGUUGGAGUCUGUGCUGCUCCAAGAGCGCCAACCAAGAUGAUCCAAAUCAGGACCAUGCCAUCAGCCGAGUUGCGAGCCUAUUUGCUACAGUUUCUUGCAGGCAAAUACCAAUAUAUAUGUUCAUUUAAUCGGCAUCCACUAUGCUAAGUAUUCCUCCUAAAAUCAUUAUUCAUAUGUUUAGUACUGACUAUGGACAUCAUCUAAUCUAGCAAAAAAAGAGUAGCUUCACGUU